rfam:Haemonchus contortus, ISE/inbred ISE, WGS project CAVP01000000 data, contig: Hcontortus_39573
GGCACAAACUUAAAGUAGAAUAGUUGGGUAUGGUCAGCUGAUCCUACUAAUCUACUCUGCUUCAAGUUUGAGCUC